rnacentral:rRNA from 1 species
GGAUGCGAUCAUACCAGCACUAAAGCACCGGAUCCCAUCAAAACUCCGAAGUUAAACGUGCUUGGGCGAGAGUAGUACUAGGAUGGGUGACCUCUUGGGAAGUCCUCAUGUUGCAUUCC